AGGUCAUUUUCCUAUUUCUGGAGGUGGUGCAAACAGGAAAAAAAAUAGGAAAUUCUGUAUUAGUGCAUUUGAUGGAAUGCAGCUAUAUAAAGGGUCCUCUAAUCCCUGAUUCCCCUCUCACUACACAACUCACUACACCACAUUAAGUCCGUGGGGGGCAAAAACUAUUCUGCAUCAGUUCAAGCACAAACUAACAAGGUUAGAUCAUAUAUAAGUCAUAUUUAUUCUUACUACUUGGUUAAUAAGUUUGUAUGUGUAUAUGCCUGAGAUAUGAAUUUGUUUAUUCUGCUAUACAUAUAUUGCUUUUACAGUAUGAAUGCAUAUAUAUUUUAAUUUCAUAUAUGUAUACAAAUCUCUCCAAAAAUAUUUGUUUAGAAUAUGUUAUAAAUUAUAUUUGAAAUAUAAAUGAACAAAUUUCAAAAUAAAUUUAAUAUUCCACAAAGAAACAUCGGAUUUAUUCGCCGGCUUUAGCCUCCAAUUUAAACCGGUGACCGGUGGAGGAGAUGAUGGCGGAGCGGUAGCGAAACUAGAGGUGGUGGCUGCGUUGGCAGUCUCAUCGGCGCCUUGGGGAGAGGAUCCGGUCACGGAUCUUCGGCGAAGGGAGCCGACGAAGAGGCUGGGUUUCCGGUGGUGGAUACAUCGUUGGAGAAUCUGGCUGCGAAAAUGGAACGGCGACCUUUGACAUACUUUCAUCUCUCUGUUGUCUGGUUGCGCAGAUUUACUGUAGAAGGCAAUUAGGUUUUUGGCUUUUGUUUGAACAAAUAAUAAGAAGCUGAUGGAAAGAUGAGCUGGACUAUUAAAAUUUUAUGGACCAAUUUGAAUUUAUUUAUGGCAUUUGGACUUCUUGAAUCUUGGAUCCAUUUAAUUUAAAGUUUGGGCUUAGUUAAUUGAUCAAGAUGGGCCUAUUUAUUUUUCAAUGGUUCUGGGCUUAUCCUUUAUCAUCAAAUUUUUAAUUGAGCUCCUUACUAAUUCUUCCAAAUGAAAUUUUAUUAAAUUAUAAUUCAAUUUGAGCUUCUUAAUUUUGAGCUUGUUUAGUUGAAUUUUAAUUUAAUAUAUGUGCUCAUAUUAAAUUGUUUAUGUAUUGCAAUUUAAUUAUGGAAUAUAAGUUGAUAAUAUGCGUAAUUUGAGCAUGCUACGUAUAUUUACUGCAAUAAUUAAUUGACUGUUAUAAUUAUGCAUUUAGAAAAGCAUGUCUAAGGAUGAAUUUAGAGCAUUUUAGGUCUGAAUUAAAUGCUUAUUAUGCAUGGUAUAGUGGCUUUUAGGUGAAUUUAGUGCCUUUAACGAUAGAUUAAGCAUAUUAACGCUCUUCAGUUGUGUCUAAUCAAAUGGCACAUUAAAAAUCCUAAAAGGAUAGUUUACCCUAUUUAAAGCCUUAACUAUAGGUGAAUUUACAUUCAUAUAGAACUUUCAAACUAUUGUACAUUGAAUGUGAGAAUGCAUGAACCAGGGAAAGUUUCUUGGGGAGGAAUACUAGUUUUAUGGCCUUGGCUCAAACGCUUUGUUGCUACUAGUCCCCUUGCGACACUACUCUGUCUAAAGAGUUGGUUUUUAAUGAAGCUUUGUCUUGACCAACUUUUCUGGGAGUAUACUUGGGAAUUGUUUAUCACAUGUCCGUAUAAUUUGUUUGUUAAGCUUUAAAUAAACCUAUGUCGAUAUGAUAAUACAAUUUUAGUUAAUUAAGGAGUAGCAACAACAUCUUUAAUUUAAUUAAAAUUGUAUAUUAAGACUCACUAAAUCACAUAAAGUUUAUACAUAAAUUGCGAUUAAUUAUAUGCAAUAUAAUAAAAUUUAGUCCACAGACAAUUUUGUUAUGUUUGUAUGAUUAAUUGGAAUAAAAUACUGAGCUGUGAUCAUAAUUUAGCCCACAUGCAAUUAUGGGCAAUUAUGCAUCGGAAUAUAGUUUUGUAGUUUUGUUGUUAUGUGUGGAAAAUCAAACUGAAACCGUACCUAUUCCGUUUCCACCAUUAUGUUUUGAUGGAUUCAUUAUGCAUAAAAAUUUAGCUGUGAUCAUAAUUUAGCCCACAGGCAAUUAUGUAUCGGAAUAUAGUUUGGUAGUUUUGUUGUUAUGUGUGGAAAAUCAAACUGAAAUCGUACCCAUUUCGUUUCCACCAUUAUGUUUUGAUGGAUUCAUUAUGCGUAAAAAUUUAGCCCACAUGUAAUUUUUAUGGCAUUCGAGUCUAUCUUAUGCAUCAUUUACAUUGGUAAUGUAUGCAAUUCGAUUCUAUGUGUGCCUCAAAACUAACAUGAACCUUUUGGUCUUCUUAGCAUCUCAACUCGUUACUCAUGCUGAUUUAACCAAUGAAAUUCUCCAACUCUGUAGUGACAACUAUAAAGUUUGGAAAGAAAGGAUUAUCUUGAAUUUAGGGUGGCAAGAGUUGGAUUAUGCUGUCAAUAAUAAUAAACCACAAAUCCCUACAACUUCAAGCACAACUGAUGAAAUUGCGCUAUAUGAGCGAUGGGAGAGAUCCAAUCGGCUCACUGUAAUUUUAAUCAAGUCUAAUGUUUCGGAUUCAGUUCGUGGUAUUGUUGAUGCAUGUAAAGAUGUCAAACCCUUACUUGAAACUCUUGACGCUCAAUAUGCCAGCUCAAUGAAGUCUUUAACAAGCACCCUUAUUAUGAAAUUUUCUUUCCUUCGUUUAAACACUGUUAAGGGUAUAUGCGAGUACAUCAUGAAGUUUCAGGAUGUAACAAACCAACUGAAAAAACUUGAGGUAGUUUUGCUAGAUGCCUUUGUGGUACAUCAUGUUUUAAACAUGCUUCCACAUCAUUAUGAGCCUUUUAAAAUCUCUUAUAACACGCAUAUGGAAAAUUUGUCUAUCAUUGAUUUAAUGACCAUGUGCGUUGAAAAGGAGGAAAGACUUACAGUGGAAAUGAGUGAAAGUGCAAUGCUUUCCAUACCUCAGGAAAAGGGAAAAUCUCGAAGUACCACUACUAAGGCUAAGGGAAAAGAUAAAACCCAACCUCAAGUUGACAUAAAGAAGAUGCGAAAGUGUUUUUUUUUGUAAAAAGAAAUGACACUUUAAGAAAUAUUGCAUCAAGUUCAAAUAGUAGCUUGAGUACGAAGAGACUUCAAGCAUUAAGGAAGCUAGUGGGAAGUGAACAGACCAUCUUAUCUGGAAACAAGAUGAUGAGACCGGAAUGCAACAAAUAAAUGAUCCAUUAAAAGUCUCGAGUGGCCCGGUAACAAGAUCUAAG